UAAAUGGCAUGCCAGAGACAGGUUAGUUUAUAAAUGGUAUGCCAGAGACAGGUUAGUUUAUAAAUGGCAUGCCAGAGACAGGUUAGUUUAUAAAUGGUAUGCCAGAGACAGGUUAGUUUAUAAAUGGUAUGCCAGAGACAGGUCAGUUUAUAAAUGGUAUGCCAGAGACAGGUUAGUUUAUAAAUGGUAUGCCAGAGACAGGUUAGUUUAUAA